rnacentral:misc_RNA from 1 species
UUUUAAUAGGUUACUAAAAAAGUUUAUGUCAUUAAUGGUUAAUUCCAAAAGUACUCAUAUUUAUUACUUAAAAAUAUUUUUUUCAUAGUCAAUAAUAUCUAAGAAUGUUACCUUUAUGGGUUAAAGCAGCUAUUUUGACUUGUCUAUAUGGGUUUUUUAAAGAGUUAAAACCAUCAGCCCCAUUUUUGACUCCAUUUUUAAACAGUACUUACAAGCAUAUUGACAUCAAAGAUAUCAAUGAUCGUAUAUAUCCAAUGAGAACAUAUUCAGAUCUUACUUUCUUAGUUGUAGUAUUUUUAUCAGCCGAUUUGCUAAGAUACAAGUUUUUCAUAGUUCUAGAAUCGUUGGCUCGACUUACAGCUGUAGCACUACUUUGUUUUGAGAAUGGAGUUUUUAUGAUGCAAAUUAUGCAAGCUGCUGAUGGUAUUGGUGACGCAAAUGAAAUAGUUUACUACUCGUACAUUUACACUGUAGUAGAUGAAAUAUAUUUUCAGAAAGUCACUUCGUAUACCAGAGCAGCAGUUUUGUUUGGUAGGGGCGCUGCUUGUAUUCUAGGACAAACGCUGCUUUCAACAAAAGCCACAAACUUAUUGGUUUUAGGCUACAUAUCCAUAAGUAGUGUUUCGUUAGCAGUAAUAAUUUCUUUAACUCUUCCGAAUCCUUUAAAGAAUAUUUUUGUAAAGAAGUUACCCAAUCACAGUGAGUCGUUUGUCAGCUGUCAAGAAACUGAAAAAUUAAAUGAAGUUUCGAAUAUUGAACCAAAUCAACAAAAAGUUGUUGACAACAAAAAAGAGAGUGGUCAGCUAUCUAAUUGCUUUUUCGUUUACGAUGUUUGUAGGCUAAAAAUGUCAACAAUGUUUCAAGAGUUUAUAAAAUCUUUUCAAAACAAAGAACUAUGCAUAUGGUCGAUAUGGUGGGCGCUUUCAGAGUGUGGAAGCUCUCACGUAGAAAACUAUGUCAUGAAUUUGUGGGCUGUGAUUUCUUCAGAUAAAGAAAUUUACAACGGUGCAGUACUUGCAACUGGAACGAUACUAGGCGGUCUUGUUAUAAUUUUAUUUCAGUUUUUAAAGAAUGCUCAACUUAAAUAUUUAGGUGAAGUAUUAAUAAGUGUAGUGUCUAUAAUAAUGGCUGCAUUUUUGUUUGUGAUGGCCAACACAACUGUUAUUUGGGUGGCUUAUAUUUGCCAUAUUUUUUUUCGGACAUUACAUGUGCUUAUUUUAACUAUUUCCAGCUUUCGAGUGGCUGUCAAUGUGGAAACAAGUGGAUAUGGACUGAUUUUUGCAUUUAAUACUCUUGUUGCAAAAGCUCUUGAAAGCCUUUUAACUUUUAUUAUAGUUGAUAGGAAAGGCCUUGAUUUGAACCAGAGAACACAGGAUUACUGGAAAGUACUACGUUAAGCUUAUAAUUAUGUGCUUUCUGAGGACAAGUUCAAGCUUUGUACUCCCUAGCAUUCCACCAUAUCCGCUUCAUGGAAAAAGCAUCUACUACAUAAAGUUACAGCUUUUGAUGGGUUAAAUAGCCAAUCUUACAAAACAAUUAAUACAUGAGAAUAAUAAAGUGGCAACUUUUGUGGUUGCCUUCUAAACUACUGGUUUCUCAAAGCUAGCUGCU